CCCAUCCCUGUUUCCUGCUGCUUUUUCAUUUCACGGCCAUCGAGGUACUUUUUUAACCACCGCUGUCCGAAACACGAGCUCACGCUGCGUUCCGACACGCCACGAGCAGGGACCGAGCAAUCCUGCGAAACCCGCGUGCCUGGACGGCAGCGACCUCGGCUAGGCUGAGGGUGCUGAACACUUGCGGAUGCGGCUCGGGUCUGCGGGGCUUCUGCUCCGAAUACGCGAACCACCCGGGGGCGACCGUCCCCGGAGGCUGCCUUGUGCCGCUCGGGGAACGUGCAGGUGCUGGGCACCUCCUGAGUACUGCGACACGGCCUGGAUAAAAAAGGCUGAAACAACACUGAAAAUGAUUGCAUCGUUGCAGACAAGAUCUGCAAAGGACAAAAAGAUCGGUGGAAUGUAAAUGAUGCUGACAACAUUUCUCAGAGGCAUCCAAAUUACUUGUUAAACUGGGGCACGGGAGGCAUUUGAGACAGGCAGACUCAGACUGACGCAUUUGGGAACAAGGACCGAGGUCCGUGACCGCAGUGCCGAAGGCGAGAUGCUCUGGCUUGGAAAGCAGCACCUGUAAAAGGAUUCGGGGCUAUAAUGGUGACGCAACUCGACAAGAAUGGUGCUGUAGCAAAAGAAGUUCAUGCAUUCUUUGCACAUAUAAACAAGGGAUUAGUGAGCAUAUGCAGAGGCGAUACCACUUCUGAAUACACCCUUGGUAAAACAAGCACUGAGACAUGCUUUCUGGUUUCUGUGUCGCAUUUCUCAAGAUACUGAAAAAUUGGGGUGCAGAAGAGAACCGAAUAAAUGAAGGCUGAAGAUGAUGCAGUUGCAGUCCUAAUGCAUUCAGUUCUUCGACAAUAUAACUGGAUAAUGUGAUUAUGAUAUAUAACUACUGUAAUGGAAGAAAGCUUGACAUUAAAAGCUUUUUAAACUGUAACAGACCUUAACUCGAGCAUUUUCUGGCUUCUGAGAUUUGACUUUGCAAUCUGAGCACUUGUUUUCUGUUUUUGUUUGUUUGUUUUGUUUUGUUUUCUCUUGCAUAUUUUCAUAAGAUCAUGUGAAUCAUUCGUACUUGCUUUUUUAUUUAUUUAUUUGAAACUUACUUUCACAUGGAGAUCACAAACAACAGCAUAUAGCAAUGCUGGCUAAAAUAAAUGCUGAAACCUUUUUAUCAAAA